rnacentral:lncRNA from 1 species
AACGCGCCCUAAAGCUAUCCAAUUUCAACAGUUAAAAUAAGUAAUACCUAUCUUAGUAAUACAUAUUAAAACCAUCAAAACUAAUUAAGCGGCCUUAUUACAUUUAAAAACCCAAACCUCAACGUAAAUAAUAGAAUGUCCAGUUCACCAGAAGAAAACCAAACUUUCAGAACGGGUGGCCACUCCGAAUUCCCUCACAGCUCCAAGCCCACUAUGGUUGGGGAUUUCCUGCGUGGAUGAAAAUAAAAGGAUGAGUUUGGGGAAACUCAGUGUGUAAGGAAAACCUAUUCAAAGCCCAAGUCAGCUCAAGCCUAUUGGGCCUAAGCCCAUUCAGGUAACAGUGGUACUGGACCAGAGCCCUUUUCAGAUUACAAUAAACUGGGCCUUAGCCCCUUAUUCAGAUAACAGUAUGGCCCAUAGGCCCAUUUCAAAAUACAUGCAACAUCAAUAACAUAUGCAAGCCCAUUUGGGGAGACUACUACACUCCACCCGUACCAGCUCUACACUCCAUGUGGGGAAUAGCUCAACCCACCCAGCCCAACACUCCACAGUUGCAGCCUUGCUGCUCAGUUAACAGUAAAUUGAGGCAAAGCCUCCAGUACGUGGACAAGCCACUUCCAGUACUUCCUCCGUCAAUAUCCCAAUCCCAUGCAUCAGAUAAUAACAACAUGGCAUGCAGUAAAUAACAACUGUCAAACAUGCAUUUAGGUCAAUUUAACCCUAGGGGUAUUUCGGUAAUUUAUCUACUAGGGGUAAAACUGUAAAUUUUCCACUUUUAAAGGUAUUUCAGUAAUUUAUCUAUUUUAGGGUUUUUCAUGCAUAUUCCUACUUUUCACGUAGUAACAGAAUCACGUAUCGAGGGUUCUUACCGAAUUGGGCCUAUUGGCCCAUCAUUCCAAUUUUGGCCCAUUAAGCCCAAAAAUAUCGAGGGCACAGAAAUCAUGCACUUUGCAGUCCAAAUUUUGCAGCUUACCAAAAACAUUAAUCGAUUUACCUUACGAGCAUUCGCACACUCGUAAAUCUACAAAAUACCAGUUUUCGGCUUUUCGACUUUUGCCGAUCCAGACUAAGAAAGGGGGUGUUAGUUACACACCUGUUUGCGACGAUAUGCUGACGAGAUCCACACA